GACGAACGCUGGCGGCGUGCCUAACACAUGCAAGUCGAGCGAGUGAAUCUCCUUCGGGAGUGAAGCUAGCGGCGGACGGGUGAGUAACACGUGGGCAACCUGCCUCAUAGAGGGGAAUAGCCUUUCGAAAGGAAGAUUAAUACCGCAUAAGAUGGUAGCUACGCAUGAAUUAGCAAUUAAAGGAGCAAUCCGCUAUGAGAUGGGCCCGCGGCGCAUUAGCUAGUUGGUGAGGUAACGGCUCACCAAGGCGACGAUGCGUAGCCGACCUGAGAGGGUGAUCGGCCACAUUGGGACUGAGACACGGCCCAGACUCCUACGGGAGGCAGCAGUGGGGAAUAUUGCACAAUGGGGGAAACCCUGAUGCAGCAACGCCGCGUGAGUGAUGACGGCCUUCGGGUUGUAAAGCUCUGUCUUCAGGGACGAUAAUGACGGUACCUGAGGAGGAAGCCACGGCUAACUACGUGCCAGCAGCCGCAGUAA
rnacentral:rRNA from 1 species